AAUUUCAAUUUUUUAAAAUAAGGUAACUCAUUCAUUUUUCUAUUUUUCAGGAUUAAGAAAAGACUUAAUGCAGUGUAAAAAUUGCAAAUUCAGCAGUUCGAGUGAAGAAGUCCUUCUAAAGCACUAUCAGCUGCAUCACCCAAGCAUUUCCAGCUGGCCUUCCCACCUAUCUAAAAGUCCCACGUAUCUAAAUCACACCACAACAGUCACAGAGUCAGUCAAGAACUUUCAACAAUAAGUUGUGAACUGUGUGAAUUCCGAGAGAUUUGCAGUGGAAAAACGUUUCUUCGUUCACCUUGGAAAUCAUCUUAAACGCAUAGAAAUGAUUAAUUGUCCCUUUAAAGGAUGUGGAUUUAAAAGAAACAAUCAGCCAACGUUCAGCUCUCAUAGAAGCAGAAAGCAUACACUAAAAGACUUUUGAACUGCAAUACAGAAAGUCUUCGAGAGUACUGAUAAUGAAGUGCCAUCAAUCUCACAGAUCUCUUCAGAAAUCAAACUUGGAGAAGAUGAUAGAAUACAGUCUGAUGAAGAUGUAAAUAUUCAAACAUUUGAACACAAAAUUGCAACACAGGGAUCGCUGAGGAAUUCUUCAGAAUCACCAAUAAAGACCUUCUUGAUGUCUUUAGAGCAGCCAUAGACAGAUUUACACCGAAGCUCUUGAAAGUAUACAGAGCUAGAAAAGCUGCAUUUGAUGAAAGAUGUUAUUAAUCACAGAAAGACUACUGCUUUGAAGGGCCUGCCUUUGUUUCUUCGAGAGGACCCAAACAAGCUGUUCAAGACAUGCAAAAACACUGAAGAUGGGGCAAAAUGUGUCUAUUGCCAUUCUGUGUAUUUUGGAAGAUGACACCCAGGCGACAUCACCCGAGGUUGUAAACAUUGCUGUGUUGUUGGUGCAGGUCGUCGUUUUGAAACAUCUCCCAGAUAUUUCUACUGCUCUUGCAUACCUUUUUGGCAUUCUGCAUGCAUUAAACAUGUCCUAUCCUCCAAAUCUCAAGUACACUUUUGACACCAAUGUGAAUGAAUGUUUUCAUGGAGCUGGGAUCUGGAUGCACCAAACCUGUGCUUGCUCUCAAGAACAAACUGUUGUAAAGAAAAUCAGAACAGUGUUUUGCGAUACCUUUUCGGUGUUCAUUUGUUACAGGACCUAAAGUGCAGUUUUGAUACAAGGUCUGGGGAUUCUUUUAGUUGGCAUCUCUUUUUCGUAACCAGCAGAUGUCAAAACAUUCUUAAAGUGUUUUAUAAUUGUAAUUUUGAUGUAACGUCUUUUUUAUGAACUUCGCAGUUGCUCUCUGAUGUCGUUGGACAUGUCUACAAUUCCCUUAGCAACUGUGUCAUUGGACAGUGGUACUGUACCGAGUUUGUCUGCUGCACUAUCGCCUAUCAUUAUUCUGCAAAAUCAGAGUCUCGGCGAUUGUAUGCGGUUUACCCAGUUUACGGAUUCUUUUGGCCACUACAUACGAUGCCUCCAAACACUGUUUAGACACAGUGCUGUGCACUGAAAUGGUUGCCUGUUGCUGAUGGAAGCCAUCAAGCUUUCUUUUAAAAUAUUUGGCCGCUUUUAUUUUUUAAUGCAAUCAUGCUUUGUUUUGAGGUGCCUUUUUAAUUUGCAGGGCUUCAUGCUGUUGUUUGCCAGCACCUCGGCACAUACGACACACUGAGGUCUCAUAUAAACUGUGACUGUAACCCCAAAGUGCAGCUAUGCUUCAUAGUAACUUCAAAGCUUUUUUGCUGAUGGUGGUGCGUCGGUUGGCUCGUUGGUCCUCACAAGAAAUUUCUCCAUUUUUGUUGUAGUUUGUUUUCUAUAUUAAAGUUUAGGCAAUAUGUAAUGUGCG